rnacentral:rRNA from 1 species
GACGAACGCUGGCGGCGCGCCUAACACAUGCAAGUCGAACGGGGAUAAAUCAACGGAAGGCUUCGGCCGGAAGAGGAUAUAUUCUAGUGGCGGACGGGUGAGUAACGCGUGAGUAACCUGCCUUUCAGAGGGGGAGUAACGGCCGGAACGGCCGCUAAUACCGCAUAACGUAAAGGGACGGCAUCAUUCUUUUACCAAAGGAGCAAUCCGCUGAGAGAUGGACUCGCGUCCAAUUAGCCAGUUGGCGGGGUAAAGGCCACCAAAGCGACGAUUGGUAGCCGGACUGAGAGGUUGAACGGCCACAUUGGGACUGAGACACGGCCCAGACUCCUACGGGAGGCAGCAGUGGGGAAUAUUGCACAAUGGAGGAAACUCUGAUGCAGCGACGCCGCGUGAGGGAAGAAGG